CUAAUCAUGUAGGCAUUUUAUCUCACACUAUAAGAAGGAUGAACAUGAUUGAACAGAACAUGAGUUCUGUUGCAGAACUCAAAGGGUCCAGCUGAGGGUGGCCAUCAUUCUCUUCUUCUCCUGUUUUUGUCAACUCUGUUCCAAUAACAAGCUCUCUGUCAGGAGGCUGCAAACAGCUGGGUCAGAGAUCAGGCAGGGUCAUUGCACACUCAGGCCUUGGGUUUCACCCGCUGGUCCCCACAGCGUGCUGGGAGCAAUACUCCUUGAUCUCCCUAUGCUGUCACCCAGUUCUGCAGCACAAUUGGCACUGAGCCUUUGCAAACAUUCUAAUUUGAUGCAUAAUUAAUAUAACAGUGAUUCAAGGCA